CAUUCUCCAAAAUAUAAUAAAAAUAAUAACUUAAUCCCGCGCAAGGCGCGGGUCUUAUCCUAGUAUGGUUGUAAUCACGAUACUCUUGGCAUAUAAUUAUUCGACUUUUAAAUGUAUGAAAAAGUUUGUUUAGUUAAAUGAAUAAACACGAAUUUAGUGAACAAUAAAUUAUUAAAUUAAUUUACAUGAAUUAUUUUUAUCAUAUAUUAAUAUUUAAAUUAAUAGUUAUACCGUGUUCAUCUUCUCCAAAUGCUCACUGUGUUUAGGUUAUUAAGUAAUAAAAUUAUUAACAAAUAUUCAUGUUCAAGACUAACAAUCAAAUAACUUAACAGAUAAUGGAAGAAACAUGUUCAAGUGCUCAUAUUCAAGGCUAAAAACAAUAUAAGCUUAUUCGAUUGUCAAUUAAAAAUCUAUGGUUGGAAUGUUGUGUGUGAAUUCUCACACAAAAGCACUUAAUGGCGUAAUAUUAUGGUGGUCAAUUGAUUUCUGUUACUUUUGAUUGACGUAUAUGACUGCAUUUACGUACGUAGCAACAAUUCCUUUCAUGUUUCGUUUGGAGAUACACUAUGAAACAAACCUGAAGCACUCCUGUUUGAGUCGAUGUUAAAGUUGCAGAAAGGUUUGGGUUUUGAAAGUAGACGGUUUAGGUUAGUUAAACGUGUGUUAAGGAAGAGUAAAAAUUGUGACGUUUGUGGUGUUUCAAUGUAUAGACGUGGACAUGAAUUAAAUGUGAUCAAUUCCUAAUAGAUAGUCCAAAAUUAAUAUGAAAGAUGUAAAAUGAAUUUCUAGUAAUAGGUCCAUUAGGUCCAUUUUCUUUAAAAUCACACAUGAAUCAAGGUUGUGACUUCUGUUUUAAUAUAUAAGAUAUAUUUCAGCUGUCAUAUGUUAAGAACUUGAGCCAUUUUUUUCUCCGGCUUCUGUAGCUCCUUGUUGUCCGCUCAUGGUUAGACUGGAAAUUACCUUACAUUAAUCUUAAUUACACGAACACGUUUAUCAAAUAUAAGACUCGGAAGUGUAAUCUAAAUCCUGUUAAUUAAGUCAAAAUCAAACCUAAAAUACAUUUACAAAAAGAAAAUGUUUGUAUGUUCGAUUAUAUUAGUAUAUUUGAGUCUUGGAGGGUAAUGGAUGGAUGAAUGAAUCGCAAUUUAUUUUAUUAGUUCGUAGGUAUUGGAUAAAUCAAUCGCAUAUAUCAAAUGAAACAAAAGAGUCAAAGGCCAGCAAAAAAAAGAGAAGCAUAUGUGGGAGUGGUCCAAUUUUAGUGAAAAGGGUGAAAGUGGAAAAAUAAAUUUGUUGGUAUAUGUAUCUGAUGCAGCAAGAUAUUUGGAAAUAUUCUAAAUAUUUUUAUUAUUCACUUGUUUGCAUAGAUAAUUACUUUUUAUUGUAUUUUUUAUAUUUUAGUAGUUUUCCUAUUUUAAUUAAGAUUAGGGUUUUCAUAGAUUUAAGGAUUUAUUAUAAAUAGGCACUCAAGCCUAAAGUUGUAUUCAGUUUUGAUUUGAUUAAUAAAAGAGCUUUGGCUUUUGGGAGAAUAAUAUUCUCUAUCCCUUGUAUUGAUUUGAUUAGAUUCAUCAAUCAAGAAGCAGGUCCCAAGCGAGGAUUCCCUAGAAUCCCUUGGUUGAGCUGGCAGGUCCCAAGCGUGGUUCCAUAACCCCUUGGUUGAGCUGUUUAUCGUUGCUUCCGCUCCAUUAGGUGGUAUCAGAGCCAGGUUACCACCUGCCACCUGCUGUUUUGGCAGGUGGUAUCGUUUCAUAACAACGAUAAACUGUCAUGGUGAGUGCGAACAUCUAUCCUAUCCAGGACGAAAGUCCCUUUGUUGAGAGAGAAGAAAACUACGAGAUCUAUCGAGAGAUCUAUGGUGAUCCAAUCUACGAUAUCUAUGAAGAUGAUGUCUACGUUGUGGACUUUGUUUUCAGUGAAGAUUCUUUUGAAAAUUUCGUCUGUGCAAAAAUUGGGCAAGACGAGAUUCGUGCAAAAUUCAGGCGGGACAAGAUCCGUGCAAAGCCCGUGCAGGACGAGUUCCGUGCAAAUUUCGAGGAAAGUCAGAAAAUUCGGUUUUAUGAAAAUUUCGGAUUUGAAGAUAAAUAUUUGAAAAUUUCAGCCACAAAAAACCUAUUGAAGAUUCGAGGACGAAUCUUUUUCAACCCGGAGAGAAUGAUGCAGAUAAGUAUUUGGAAUAUUUUCAAAUAUCUUGUUAUUUAUUUUAUUAGUUAUAUUAAUUUAGAUAAUUACCUUUUAUUUGUAUUUUCUAUAUUUUAAUGGUUUUCCUAUUUUAAUUAAGAUUAGGGUUUUCUAGAUUUAAGGAUUUAUUAUAAAUAGGUAUUGAAGCCUAAAGUUGUAUUCAGACUUUUGAUAAUUAAAAACAGAGCUUUUGCUUUAUACCUUGUUUGAUUCGAUUAAAUUCAUCUACAAGAAGUUGGUCUCAAAGAAGCUAUCGCAAGAAACUCUUUGAUCGAUCCAAGAACAGGUCUCUAGAACCCUAAAAGUUCCAUGAUCGACCGUUCAACAGUUUGUACGCUGCGCCAGUAUCGAUCAUGAUACUGGAAAAAACAUAAGAUAUAUGUGUGUGUAUAUAUAUAUAUAUAUGAUCAAAGAUUCCAAGGUAGUCACUUUGGUCCAUGGGACAUCUUUACUAGCUUGGCCAAUUUUUCUAGGGCAUGUUGGGUUCGUUGUAUCAUCUUUUACCAAACAAGUUUCUUUUUUUUUCUGUAACUGACCAAACAAGUUUCUCCGUUUUAUAUAUAUAUAUAUAUAUAUAUAUAUAUAUAUAUAUAUAUAUAUAUAUAUAUAUAUAUAUAUAUAUAUUUUUUUUUUUAUCUUGACGUUUCCCAAUCCAAUCACUCGACUUUGAAUCUUCCCCUUAUAUUCUUUUGUCUUCACACAAGACAAGAUCUGCAACUUUUUAUUGUUCUUGUAGCCCAAUAGCUUUAGAGCAUAAAGAGGGCGACAUUCCAUCUUAAUUCGGAUAAUUAUGGAAGAAGCAAAAACCAAUUCUUGAAACUACUUUAGAGAUCCACAACGCCCUCCCAAAACUAUUUCACCGUUACCAUUACUUCAGUCGUUAGGAUCAUAAUAUGGAAACAGACAAACACUAGUAAGAAAAAGUUGUUUAAAAAGAGAAUUCAUCAUUGAAUUAGAAGCAACAAUCUAAUUACUGCCGAAUAGAAAUCUAUUAGUUAUUGAACCAUUAGAACAUUCACAACGGGAGCUCUUGAGAGAGUCUUUAGGGAGUGUAGAACUCAUUUUCUUGGAGUUUGUGUAAAAAAGAGUGCUUAAAAUCCUUUGGUAAGUAUUGAUCGUUACACUGUUCACGGGUCCUAUUGACUACGUGGCGGGCCGUGAAUAGUCAUUUUUUUUUUAAAUCCAAAAUAUCUAUGAUUAAUCCGAAAUGGCCUUGUCGCUAAAAACUCCAAUGAGUUUUACCGUUGCGUAUGAUCUUAUAAACUUUAAAAUUACGUGUAUCUUUGCAUAUUCCGUAUACGUACAUAUUUUUAAGUGUCGAAUCUAAAUAUACAUUUUCAGUCUAUUUAAAUAAUUAUUAAAUAUAAUCAAGUUGAUUAAAAUAUAUCUAAAUCUUAGAGUUUUGCCUAUCAAUUCUAGUUUUUAAGAGAUUAAUCAAACAAUGUAUAUAUAUUCACUUUCAUUACUAAAAUAAUACCAACACAUUAAACGUGCAAAAAUAUCAAUAAUGCGUUUUGAUAGUGGCUUCUUACAAAAAGUUAGUUUUGUUAUGUCCCAAGUUCGAUACUGUUUUAAAGAAUGCUUUAGAGCCUAGAUCGAAUAUUUUUGGUUAAUAAAAACAUGCAAGAAAAUUAGUCACUUAAUUAUACAAAACUAAAUGAAUUAUUUAGAAAUAAAUUAUAUCCAAUAAAAAUAAUGAUGAAUAAAAGAAAGAAUCAAACUAUUUAUGGAAAACUAGAUAUAUUUUUUUUUGGUAAACACUAGAUAUAUUAUCAUGGGUAGAUCCAUCACUGCAUAUAUCUAAUGGGUGGUAGUAAAAGGUCAAAAAGCCUGUCACUGGAAAAUGCAGGGAUUGCUCAUAAGAAUUUCAAAAAGCAGAAUGAUAAUCUUGAUAUGAAUUGGCACUUCAACCAUUUUGAAUCUUCAGUCUUCCUGUAUAUUAUCAUCUUCAAGAAUAAUAAUAUUUAUAUGUUAACUAGAUGGUUUCCUGCACAGUGCGCAAAAAUAUUUUUAAAUUAUUUUAUUUUUUUAUUCAAAUUAUAUUUUCAUUACUUUUGGUUUUAGGCUAAUUUACUAAAAUUGUUUUCAUUUUUUUGAAAUGGUAAUUUAUACUAUUUUAUUUCUUCUAAAAAAUAAAUUUGAAAUUUUUAGUUUUGUUGGUUUUAGUUAAAAAUAUUUAAUAUAUAAUAGUAUUUAUUAAACCUGGUGAGUGGAAUGCUAAUCACUCAAUUAAAUUAUUUUAUUACAACUAAAUUUUAAAUAUAGUCAGUAAUUUAGAAAAUCGAUUAGGCUUAUCUUUAAAUUAAGUAAUAAACUUAAAUAUGCCUUUUUAUUUAACCGUCCAUAAAAUAAAAAUAUUUAUAAGAAAUUAUCUUUCAUAUGAUAUAAACAUUAUUAAAAUGGCUAAUUUUUUUGCCGAAGGGUAAAUAUAUAUAAUAAAUCGAUCAUGUUACAAUCUUAACAUCAUGUAAUAAAUUUUGAAAAAUAAUAUUAUAUUAUUUAUUAAGAUUAUGGUAAUGACACAAUUUUCCCAAAUUAAUAUUAUAUUUUCGGAAAUAUAUUUUUGCAAAGUAGAUAACUUUUGCAAAUCUGAAACCCAUAUUAUUUUGCAAAAAAAAAUUGUUUGCAGAUUUUGAAAUAUUAUAAAUGCUAUAAUGUAAAGUACUUUUACUGACACAUGAUCAUUUAUAUUCUUAUAAUUUUUAUAUUAAUUAUGGUAUCAUGUAUAUUUCUAAUUACGGUAAUUGCCAUAUUAUUAUUAUUAAUAUUUUUGUAAUUGAAUUUUUUGUCAUAAUUGUCUUAAACCAUGUCGUAAUCUUAAUUAGAUUGAUCCAUCUUAUUAUUUUUCUCUUGAGAGAUUGUGAUAAUGACAUACAGUAAAACAUAUAUAAAUUAAUAAUGUUGGAACUUAAAUUUUUUAUUAAUUUAUAGAAAUAUUAAUUUACAAAAGUUUUCUUUUAAAAUUAUUUUCUAUUUUUAAAUAUUUUUAUUUAUAAAAUAAGAAAAUAUUUGAUUUUACCGCAUAUAAAUUAUUUAAAUUUUAGAAAUUUGACUUUUAUAGUUUUUUUUAAUCUUAUUUGGUCUAUAUUUUUAUGUUUUAUAGAAUUGUUAUUUGGUUUUAAUAUAAUUUCACUAAAUAUUACCAAAAUAUAUUGAAAUAUUAAGAAAAACCGAGGCAUUUUCAUUGUCAAUAUAAAAACAACAAUAUAAUGUUUAAUUUGUACUUUUAUAAAAACAAUAUAUAGAUAGAUUAUUAAUUUAUGAUUUUAGUGGGAUUAUAUAUUUACAUGAGAGUUUUACAAAUAUUAUUAUCUUAUUAUUUUAUCGAUUUGUGUCAUAUUUUACACCGGCCCAAGUUGAGACCGAUGAAAUUUAUUAAUUUAUAAAGAUUAUUAAUUUAUCGAGUAUUAAUUUAUAGAGGUUCUAUUGUAUACGCAAAUCACUUCAUUCAUAAAAUAAUGUUUAAUAAUGUUUAAAAAUGAUUUUCUAUUCUAUCACCACUUCACGUUUUUAGAAAUCAACUUCUAGCCGUUUUUUAUAUUGCUAAACAGCAUGCAGUUUAAUUUUACAAUUACGAUUCUCAGGCCCACUUACGUUGGUGCAUUGACUCUCAUUUUCAAGCAAACAUUAAACGCUCGGACUCGCAGGACAAGAGUCAAAAGGAGAAAACAAUGUCAUAUGAACAAAACACCAAAAAGAUGAAACGAGUUACAAAGUGUGAUGAAGUAUUUUUCGAGACCUGAAAAAAAAAACAUUUUUAAAAUAGUUUGGAAUCUGAAUUGUUGUCUGUCACGGUUCAGGCAAGUUUUGAAGCUAUCGGCCUCCUCG